UUUAUGGAGAGUUUGAUCCUGGCUCAGGAUGAACGCUGGCGGCGUGCCUAAUACAUGCAAGUCGAGCGAACGGAUAA
rnacentral:rRNA from 1 species